rnacentral:lncRNA from 1 species
AUACAAUUUAUAAACUAGAUACCCUAAGGAACAUUUAGUUAAAGUUUGGAAGUAUUUGGCCCAGUAGUUUCAGAGGAGAAGAUUCUUGAAAUAGUUUACGACGACAGACGACGACGGACGACGACAGACGACGACGGACGACGACGGACGCCAAGUGAUGGCAUAAGCUCACUUGGCCCUUCGGGCCAGGUGAGCUAAAAAUG